GGCUGGUCUGAGAGAAGUGGUGUUUGCAACCAACUGAUCACAGCUAGUUACAGGUUUCUUUGUUCCUUCUGCACUCCCACUGACCAGGCCAAG
rnacentral:sRNA from 1 species